UAGCUUGUUGAGGCCGAGGCUGGAACUGGCGGAAGUGACGCUAUCAACGCGCGCCAGAAGUUUAGUCGGGUCGGGAAGGGGCGCCGGGGCGGGCGCUUAGGCCGCCUGCGGCUUAACUUCGUUUUCGCGGGCCAGCGGUGGUCUGCAGGGACUCCAGAUUGCUGUUUCUUGGUGUACAUGAAGAUAACGCAAACAGUUGAGGAAGUUGCUAAGAAGCGCGUACUGGGGAUGCUCUAGGAAAAGACUGAAUGCCGAGGCGAGUUCCAGUCCAAAGGUAUUUGAUUUACCAAGAAGAAAGUGAACAUCAUGGAUCAGAACAACAGCCUGCCGCCUUAUGCUCAGGGCCUGGCCUCCCCUCAGGGUGCCAUGACUCCUGGAAUCCCUAUCUUCAGUCCAAUGAUGCCUUACGGCACGGGACUGACUCCACAGCCUAUCCAGAACACCAGCAGCCUGUCUCUGCUGGAGGAGCAGCAAAGGCAGCAGCAGGCCCAGCAGCAGGCGCAGCAGCAGGCGCAGCAGCAGGCCCAGCAGCAGGCCCAGCAGCAGGCCGUGGUGGCGGUUCAGCAGUCGACAUCCCAGCAGGCAGCCCAGGGGGCCUCGGGCCAGACACCACAGCUCUUCCAUUCACAGACUCUCACCACUGCACCCCUGCCAGGCACCACUCCCCUGUAUCCCUCCCCCAUGACCCCCAUGACCCCCAUCACCCCUGCCACACCAGCCUCCGAGAGCUCGGGGAUCGUGCCGCAGCUGCAAAAUAUUGUAUCCACAGUGAAUCUUGGCUGUAAGCUUGACCUAAAGACCAUUGCACUUCGUGCCCGAAAUGCUGAAUAUAAUCCUAAGCGAUUUGCUGCUGUAAUCAUGAGAAUAAGAGAGCCCCGAACCACUGCACUGAUAUUCAGUUCUGGGAAAAUGGUGUGCACAGGAGCCAAGAGUGAAGAACAGUCCAGACUAGCAGCAAGGAAAUAUGCCAGAGUUGUACAGAAGUUAGGUUUUCCAGCAAAGUUCUUGGACUUCAAGAUUCAGAACAUGGUGGGGAGCUGUGAUGUGAAGUUCCCUAUAAGGUUAGAAGGCCUUGUGCUGACCCACCAACAGUUUAGCAGUUACGAGCCAGAGUUAUUUCCUGGUUUAAUCUACAGAAUGAUCAAACCCAGAAUUGUUCUUCUUAUUUUUGUUUCUGGAAAAGUUGUAUUAACAGGUGCUAAAGUCAGAGCAGAAAUUUAUGAAGCAUUUGAAAAUAUCUACCCUAUUCUAAAGGGUUUCAGGAAGACGACAUAAUGGCUGUUAUGUACUCCUGCCUCUGCACCCACUUGUUUUUAAAACAAAUCAGUUUUGGUACAUUUAAAUGGUGGUGUUGUGGAUGGCCCCGAUUUGGUGAGAAGAUGGAUGUUCUGUGGGUUGUAGCAGCCGGUGAAGCUCUCCAGCGUGCGUUCCCCGUAGGGAUGCCGGGAAGCGGUCUUACUUCUGCACGGAGAACUCACAGCGCUGUGUGAGCAAACUCCGGCCUCAGCUGCGGUAUUUGCCCCAGGGUACAUAGCUAGGGAACGCAAAACCAGGCUCUCGGCCAGAGUCCUUCAGUAUUAAAGCUGGGUAUGUGUACAGCCUGGUGAGGUGUUUGUUUUUCUCAUGAAUAUUACCUGGAAAUUUGUAAGUUCUUGGAUUUUAUUGUUUGGGUUAAUUUGUCAAAGUAUAUUUUCAAGCAGUUCAGAAGCACAUAAUCAGAAAGGAAGAGUUCUUUCCUUCUCUCCCUUCUGCUUACUUCCCCAGGUAUCCCCCAAGCCCCGUUCUGUGCAGCUUCUUUCCUUCUGGGCUGCUUUUGAUCCCAAAUUUAGAAAAUACUAAAGCAUUUUAUAUUUUAUAGCUUUGCUUUUAUUUUCAGUCAGUAUGUCGUGGAGUCUGAUAGCAUCACAGAUGUACAACAUCUUUUACGUACCUUUAUGUAUUCACCUGUUUCCUUAAUUAUCAGCAGUGUUUCAGCUGUAGGAAGCACCCUUAUAUGCCUGUUUGUGGUUCAGUGCAGACAUUUCUGUAGUGAACAUGCCUAGGAGAGGAGCCACUGCCAUCCAUCGGUCCAAUAUUAUCUCCUUCCAUCUGAAAAAGAAGUAUCUUUCCACAUGUAGGUCUUCUCUUAGUCAAGUUUUAUAAUUUUUUUCACAUAGGGCUUAUACAUUUCAUAAAAGUUAAUUCCUAAGUGUUCUCUGGUUCCUGGUAUUAAUGUAAUUUUUCAUUACCUUUCAAGUCUUAUUGACAUAUUUAUCUUAUUCCCAAUCGCUUUACGGAAUUCUGAGGCUUUCCCCUGUGAAACGGUACACACAGAAAACCUAACAAAACAAAUAUUUAGCAGAGUGUAUUACUCAGUAGACAUCUGCAACCAUCACUCAGAACCUUGCCCGUGUCCCAGGGGCCUCUCCUUCUAGUGCAGCCACAACACCCCCGGACCAAUAACCAUGAUCUUGAACUUUGUAGUCAUUUUAUAGUCAUUACCUAAAUUACUAAUAUGGGUUAUUCUUCCAUUUAAAAAAAAAAGUUGCUUUUCUGCCUGUCUUACUCCUUAUAUUCCCCCUCCCUGUCUUUUCCUUAAAAUGUUAGGCCAAAUUUACAGCUGGUAGUUUCUUACAGUAUGUGUUUUGCUAUUUUCAAACUCAUGGUGUAGUUCAGCAUGUUCCUGUGUUCGAUUUCCUGCAAAUGAGCAGCUACAUCCAGAGGCUUCUCAUUGAUCUGUGAAUUCAUUAGUGGGUUGCAAAUGAUGAAAUUCUACUUAUUUUCCAGUCGUUCAUUGGAAUACUUUUAUAAAGUGAUACGCUUCAUAUAGCAGGAUAAAUGCUGCUUUCCCUUUGAAAGUUUUCGAGAUUAAAUACCUCAUGAGUUCACAUUGAUAUAUCCAAUUCAAAUUCAAGACUACGGGGGUUUCAUUUAAUCACUUAUUUUUUUUACACCGAGAAUCCUUAAUUUUUAGACACACGGAAUGAUGUUAGAAAAUCCCAUGGUCAUUUACUUAAUCUUACGUUAUACAUGCAACAGUCUUAGAUUGCAUUAACACCAAGGUGAUUAUCAAAAGCACUUAAACAUACUUAUUUUGCUGUUAUCUCUGAAUUGUCAAGGGAUGAUGAGACCAGCGUUCGUGUCUAAUAAAAGGAGGGGUGAGCAGUCGGGUCAGGCAGCGUCUGAGCCAAACAGAAGUUUUGGUGGAGUACGUGGAUGGGCAAUAGUGAAUGACAUCCUCUACAGGAAGUUACUGGGUGAGACAUGAUCAUUUUAGGAUGUUUUUAAAUGCAUCUUGGCAUUUCCAGAAGUAACUGAGUUGCUCAAUGUUUUUAUGUAAAUUUUUGGUUUUAGGUUAUUUUUAUUUUGUAUUAUUUUUCAUAUGAUGGAUUAUUUUUCAACAUGGAUGCUAGUUGACAUUGUGACAUUUUCUUUCUGUUGAUUUGGACUAGUCUGUAAGUGGAAAGACCCUGUGAACCCUCACCCCAAUUGCCAGAACUUGGUAGGGAUACAUACCUAAAGGAUAGCUUGGCUGGUUAUUCCCAACAUACCUGCAAGAAUGUCCACAAUCAUCUGGUGAUGUCUCCAAACAGACCCUAAUGGGUUUGCUUAAAGUCCUUAGCAGUCAGGGCACUAUUCUGCUUUGGAAAACUUACUAUAACAUCUCCUGACUUUAAGAAUCAUUUACAAUUGGCAAUGUGAAGACCCCACACUAGUCCAGUUUUCUAGAAGCCACUGAGCUUCCUACCAAGUGUUGAUUCUUGCCACCAGAUGAUGACAACUUAUAAUGUGUCCUCCAGUAGCAAUGGGCUGUAUCACCAUAGUUGUAGGUCAUUCUCAGACUUCACUCUCGCAGCUUGAAAACUGUGACACUAUCCUCCCUCUUUACAGGUUGUAUUUAAAAGUAGCCUAGUAACAAAUCUCCCCGUCAGAAUUCCAUACUGGUUUCCCAUAUAGAGCUAUGUUUCACUGUAUUUCAUACACAUAUCUCUAUGAAUAACAUAUAUACCUAUAAUGUGGGCUAAUAGACCAGGACUUUCUCAUAAAAAUGUAGUAAAAUAACCAGGUAGUCAGUGACAUUAAUAAUGGUGUUAUAUGCAAGAAAGAUGCCCUUAUGGGAGAACAUGAGCCAACUUGGAUUAGCUGUUGGUUUUUAAGCACUGAUCAACAGCAGUGUCCCUUCAGGCCUCCUUCAGUGCUGGGCAGGCGUCACUGGUGUUGAAAGAACUGGGAACUGUCACAGCGUAAUCGUGAAACACUAGGGGCUGGAAGGAGCCUUAGCACGGUUAACAGAUUUAGCUGACCUCAGGGCCAGAUUUCCCUAGGGAAAUUCUAAUGGCCAAUUCCUGCCUCCUUACUUGGGUUUACUCCCCAUGUGUACACUGGCAUGAGAUGGGGGGCGGGGGAGAGAGAAAGACCAUCAUUCUUGCCUUGCAUCUCUCAUCUGUGAGCAGUGCUAUUGGCAGAUCAAGGUCAGUUGUGAAGUAGAGCUUCUCUUCGAAGUCAGUUAUUCAUCACAUUCACCAGCCUACUGGGGUUUUGUAUUUUUCCAGUGUUCUGGACUUCCAUGUGUCUUAGAGCCCAUGACAAUGACCUGAUUACCAGUCACGUCUCUUUGGGUUUUACCCAAAUAGUUUUCUCUUGGUUUUAACAUUGCAAAUGUUAGGAGGAAAAAUGCUCUGAGUAAUGGAUUGUCUUAAUGAGGAAAUCAACCCAUUUUUAUUGUAGAAAGAAACAAACACAUAGGUAAAACGAUCAUUUCAUAGUCCCACCAUCCAUAGUUAACUAGUUCCCACCGAGUAGGUAUCUUUCCAGAUUUCUGUUGACAUACAUAUGUAUAAAUACUUUUACAAAAA